rnacentral:rRNA from 1 species
UACGAAGGGGGCUAGCGUUGCUCGGAAUCACUGGGCGUAAAGCGCACGUAGGCGGAUUGCUAAGUCAGGGGUGAAAUCCUGGAGCUCAACUCCAGAACUGCCUUUGAUACUGGCGACCUUGAGUCCGGGAGAGGUGAGUGGAACUGCGAGUGUAGAGGUGAAAUUCGUAGAUAUUCGCAAGAACACCAGUGGCGAAGGCGGCUCACUGGCCCGGUACUGACGCUGAGGUGCGAAAGCGCGGGGAGCAAACAGG